GUUUGAUCAUGGCUCAGGAUGAACGCUGGCGGCGCACUUAAGACAUGCAAGUCGAACGGACUUAACCGAAAUAUUUAUAUUUUGGAGCGGUUAGUGGCGGACUGGUGAGUAACGCGUAAGCAAUCUGCCUAUUAGAGGGGAAUAACAGUGAGAAAUCACUGCUAAUACCGCAUAUGCCAUGAACAUCGCAUGAUGAAAAUGGGAAAGGAGUAAUCCGCUAAUAGAUGAGCUUGCGUCUGAUUAACUAGUUGGUGUGGUAAUGGCAUACCAAGGUAACGAUCAGUAGCCGGACUGAGAGGUUGAACGGCCACAUUGGGACUGAGAUACGGCCCAGACUCCUACGGGAGGCAGCAGUCGGGAAUAUUGCGCAAUGGAGGAAACUCUGACGCAGUGACGCCGCGUAUAGGAUGAAGGUUUUCGGAUUGUAAACUAUUGUCAUUAGGGAAGAUAAAAGACAGUACCUAAGGAGGAAGCUCCGGCUAACUACGUGCCAGCAGCCGCGGUAAUACGUAGGGAGCAAGCGUUAUCCGGAUUUAUUGGGUGUAAAGGGUGCGUAGACGGGAGAUUAAGAUAGUUGUGAAAGCCCUCGGCUUAACUGAGGAAUUGCAACUAAAACUGGU
rnacentral:rRNA from 1 species